GCCCCGGUAAACGGCGGCCGUAACUAUAACGGUCCUAAGGUAGCGAAAUUCCUUGUCGGGUAAGUUCCGACCUGCACGAAUGGCGUAAUGAUGGCCAGGCUGUCUCCACCCGAGACUCAGUGAAAUUGAACUCGCUGUGAAGAUGCAGUGUACCCGCGGCAAGACGGAAAGACCCCGUGAACCUUUACUAUAGCUUGACACUGAACAUUGAGCCUUGAUGUGUAGGAUAGGUGGGAGGCUUUGAAGUGUGGACGCCAGUCUGCAUGGAGCCGACCUUGAAAUACCACCCUUUAAUGUUUGAUGUUCUAACGUUGGCCCGUAAUCCGGGUUGCGGACAGUGUCUGGUGGGUAGUUUGACUGGGGCGGUCUCCUCCUAAAGAGUAACGGAGGAGCACGAAGGUUGGCUAAUCCUGGUCGGACAUCAGGAGGUUAGUGCAAUGGCAUAAGCCAGCUUGACUGCGAGCGUGACGGCGCGAGCAGGUGCGAAAGCAGGUCAUAGUGAUCCGGUGGUUCUGAAUGGAAGGGCCAUCGCUCAACGGAUAAAAGGUACUCCGGGGAUAACAGGCUGAUACCGCCCAAGAGUUCAUAUCGACGGCGGUGUUUGGCACCUCGAUGUCGGCUCAUCACAUCCUGGGGCUGAAGUAGGUCCCAAGGGUAUGGCUGUUCGCCAUUUAAAGUGGUACGCGAGCUGGGUUUAGAACGUCGUGAGACAGUUCGGUCCCUAUCUGCCGUGGGCGCUGGAGAACUGAGGGGGGCUGCUCCUAGUACGAGAGGACCGGAGUGGACGCAUCACUGGUGUUCGGGUUGUCAUGCCAAUGGCACUGCCCGGUAGCUAAAUGCGGAAGAGAUAAGUGCUGAAAGCAUCUAAGCACGAAACUUGCCCCGAGAUGAGUUCUCCCUGACUCCUUGAGAGUCC
rnacentral:rRNA from 1 species